CGGUGACCCUCUUGGGCCUGCUGGAGGCGCUGAGGCUUGAGGGCCGGUGACUGUGGACGGGAAGCUGGGAGGGGUUAACUGGAGGAAACCUUUGCCGGGUGGCUGGUGGCCCGGAGCUAGGAGACGUGGCACUUUCAAUGAGUCCUGGGGAGGGGCUCUCGAGGAAGCCUGGGAGCUGGGAGGGGGUGUGGAAGAGGGCAAAGAGUGGGGAACCGAGUCUUGGGGUCUAGGUCAGAGUCGCCCUAAAACCCAAUUGUGUUAGUGUCCUGUGUCCAGUUAAAAAGACACAAUACCCAGGAUCUUUUGGUCACGAGGGAUGGCCUUGUGCCUGAUUCUGGCCAAGAGGUAUAAGCAGAAGUCCAGAGGUGGGGGUUCUGGGAAAAUGUAAUACCUGGAGAUGGGGUAACCCUCUAUGACCACGAAGAAAGAAGAGAACCACAUGCUGAAGACUGAGCAGGAGGCUAAAGGACGCUGAGGCCUUGAUGGCAUCUGCGAAUAAAUGCAUGAGGCCUGGUCUACCUCCUUUUGGACUUGUUACACGAGAAAAAGAAUCCUUCUUUAAGAUGCUGUAUUUGCGUUCCUGUUACAUGCAGGCUAAAUGUACCGUUAAUUGUCUAACACAUUUUCUGCUCACACGUUGUGGCAGCUAGUGCAUUCUGCUGGGGCUUUAGCCUGUCGUUUGGCCACUGGGAUGGAUGUUAAUAACAUGGUACAGGGCAGAGCGGCUUCAGCGUCAGCUGGAAGAAUCCUGGCUGUGUGGCCUCAGGAAGGUUAUUUAACCCCCUGGAGUCUAAGUCUUCUCAUCCACUGAAAUGAGACUAAGAUUUAAUAUCUCUUGGUUCUGGAGUAACAAAAACAUAACAGGGUUUGGGUCUGCUAAUGCUUAGGCAAAUAUUUGUACAGUAAGUGAGGUAGGGUGGGGUUGCCUGUAACAACUGUGGGGCUGUGCAGACGGCAAAGGUGGUGUCCUGCUGAUCUAUGGAAACCCUGAAGGGUGACCCUGGAAGGGAAGAUCAAUCAAGAUGAUGACAGUAGCUAAUAUAUCUUGGGCACCUAUUGCGUGCUAGUCACUGUGGUGAGCACUUCAUGUGCAUUGUCUCAUUUUGAACACCCAAGAACUAUACGGUAGCUGCUGUUAUGAUCUUCAGUUUACGGAUAAAGAAAUGGCACUACUACUGCGUGUCUCUUUCCAACUCAGCUCUAUUCUCCGUGUACCAGGAGGUCACACUGGUAGCUUGAAACUGGCCAUGGUGCUCCCAUGGAAAUUUAGACUGCAAAAUCUGCAAAUGCUACCAAUUAGGGCCUGACUGAUUGUUUUGUUGAUUGUUUUGACUUCCAGGGAUGGAGAAAUGAUUAAUAACGCAGAUCAAACUUAAAAUUGUUGGGACUGUGAUGGUUACAUUGUGACUAGCACAAAAAAUGGAGGAACUGUUUUUCUAGUAUUCAAAAACUAUGAUCUUAUUUAGCAAAGGACUGAUUGACGUCAUUGAUGAGUGGAUCAAAUCCUGACAUGUCUUCGUUGUUUCACUUUCAUGCUUCAUAAAUGAAAAUAUCCGCCAACAUUCAUACUGGAAGUACAGUCUUUCCUCCGUUGCAACCGUACCUGGGUCCCAGAUACGAGUUCACCAAAAUGCCAGCAAAAACAUUCUGUAGGAAUCAGUUGCCCACAUGGAGUUUUUAAUAAGUAAUAUUGUAAUUUAUUUAUUAUAAUUUAUUUGAAUAAAUUCAAAUUUAUUGAAUUUUCA